GGGUGUAAAGUUGUGGAAAGUGUUCAAAAAGAUAGGAAGAAGAGAAACCUGAAUGGGAAAGAAAUAGGACCAAGAAAGAAACCGAGAUAUGUAAUUUCACAGGGAAUGGGCAUUAUUGAUACAACGUAAUGAAAUGACAAGUUGGAGGAGGUCACGGAAAAGAGGGAAGAUGGGGCAGGAAGGAGGAAGGAGUAAGGAGGAAGGAGUACAGCACGUGAGUUCGUGUGUCAGAGAACGGGAUACUCAUAUAAGAGAAAGGGUCGGAUGCAAGCUGGAGUGGUCUAGCAC